UCUGCCUUGGAGUGGGGAAUAACGGCUGGAAACAGCCGCUAAUACCGCAUGAUGCAUCUGAGUCGCAUGGUUUGGAUGCCAAAGAUUUAUCGCUCUGAGAUGAGCUCGCGUCUGAUUAGCUAGUUGGCGGGGUAACGGCCCACCAAGGCGACGAUCAGUAGCCGGACUGAGAGGUUGGCCGGCCACAUUGGGACUGAGACACGGCCCAGACUCCUACGGGAGGCAGCAG
rnacentral:rRNA from 1 species